rnacentral:rRNA from 1 species
CCCUUAGAUGUUCUGGGCUGCACGCGCGCUACACUGAAGCGUUCAACGAGUAUUCACCUUGCCCGGGAGGGUUGGGUAAUCUUUUGAAAACGCUUCGUGAUGGGGAUAGAUUAUUGCAAUUAUUAAUCUUCAACGAGGAAUUCCUAGUAAGCGCGAGUCAUCAGCUCGUGCUGAUUACGUCCCUGCCCUUUGUACACACCGCCCGUCGCUCCUACCGAUUGAGCAAACCGGUGAAUAGUUUGGACCGUCGGCUUUCUUGGUUCGCCGGGUUAGCAGUACGGAAAAUUCAGUGAACCUUUUUGCUUAGAGGAAGGAGAAGUCGUAACA